GUGAACGCUGGCGGCGUGGAUAGGGCAUGCAAGUCGAGUGGGUUUAGACCCACGGCAGACGAGAUAGGAACACGUAGGAACGUACCCUCGAGUCGGGCAUAACCCGUCGAAAGACGGGAUAAUUCUCGAUAGUCUCUUCGGAGUAAAGAUUUAUCGCUUGAGGAACGGCCUGCGGGCUAUCAGCUAGUUGGUGAGGUAAUGGCUCACCAAGGCUAUGACGGCUAGGGGAGCUGAGAGGCUGACCCCCAUCGAUGGAACUGAGACACGGUCCAUACACCUACGGGUGGCUGCAGUCGAGAAUAUUUGGCAAUGGGCGAAAGCCUGACCGAGCGACGCCGCGUGAUUGAUGAAGUCCUUCGGGACGUAAAGAUCUUUUCUGAGGGAGGAAGUUUAUUGACGUUACCUCAGGAAUAAGGGGCUCCUAACUCUGUGCCAGCAGGAGCGGUAAUACAGAGGCCCCAAGCGUUACCCGGAAUCACUGGGCGUAAAGGGUGUGUAGGUGGUCGUGUUAGUCUUCUGUUAAAUCUCCCCGCUCAACGGGGAAAUCGCAGGAGAAACGGCACAACUAGAGGGUGCGAGAGGUGAAUGGAACUCAUGGUGUAGGGGUGAAAUCCGUUGAUAUCAUGGGGAACACCGAAAGCGAAGGCAAUUCACUGGCGCAUUUCCUGACACUGAGACACGAAAGCGUGGGUAGCGAACGGGAUUAGAUACCCCGGUAGUCCACGCCCUAAACGUUCUUCUCUAGCUUUUUGGAGUAUCGACCCUCUGAGAGGCGAAGCUAACGCGUUAAGAGAAGCGCCUGGGUAGUACGGCCGCAAGGCUAAAACUCAAAGGAAUAGACGAGGACUUGCACAAGCGGUGGAUCAUGCGGCUCAAUUCGAUGCUAAACGAAAAACCUCACCAGGGUUUGAAACCCACACGAUCAUCUAUGGAAACGUAGACUCCGCAAGGCGGGUGGGCAGGUGAUGCAUGGCCGUCGUCAGUUCGUGGUUUGAACUGUUCCCUUCAGUGGGGUAACGAACGCAACCCCCGUUGCCUGUUAUAUUUGUCAGGCGAGACUGCUCCCUUACGGGAGAGGAAGGUGGGGAUGACGCCAGGUCAGCAUGUCCCUCUGAUAUCCUGGGCUGCACGCAUGAUACAAUGCACGUGACAACGAGUUGCGACGGCGCAAGCCUGAGCUAAUCUUUUAAACACGUGCCCAGUUCGGAUUGAGGUCUGCAACUCGACCUCAUGAAGCCGGAAUCGCUAGUAAUCGCGGGUCAGCCAUACCGCGGUGAAUACGUUCUCAAGUCUUGUACUCACCGCCCGUCAACUCAAGGAAGCCGGGAGUGCCCGAAGUCCAGCGCAAGCUGGCCUACGGUAAGCUCGGUGACAGGGAGU
rnacentral:rRNA from 1 species